UGCAUGUGCUGUGGACGCUGUCUCAUCUUUGGGCUUUUAUGUAAGCAUUCAGGACUUUCUUUCCCAUCUCCCUGGCACCAGAAGUGGGGAAGACAAUCACCAUCUAGAGAAGUUGAAGAUACUCUAUGUGAAAGGGAUGUGGAAAGAGGCCCUUGAGGAUAAAGGCCAAACAGAAGAGAAAAGGAGGUGUCUUAGCUGAAGCCAGCGGCAACUAUGAAGAUGUAAAUGAAGACAUCUUGGAUGUGCUAGCCCUAACUGAAUUGCCAGCUGAAUGUAGCUACAUGAAUGAUCCCAGUCAAAACUAAGUGGAGCAGAAAAUCAACCCAUAGAAUUGAAAGAAAUAAAAUAUCAUAGUUGUGUAACUAACUUUUAGGAUGGCUUAUUUUUUGCAGAUAUAGAUAACUUACAUGGGUUUUUUGUAAACAUUUUUCCCCAGCAUUUGAUUGGUUUUUUCAUCCUGUUAACCUGUCUUUUGCAUAGCAUAAAAUUUGAAUUUUUAUGAAGUUCAGCUUAUCAAUUCUUUCUUCAUGAAUCAUGCCUUUGUAUAUGUCUAAAAAGUCAUCAUCAAACCCAAGAUUAUCUAGAUUUUCUGUUAUGAUAUCUCUAAGGAAUUUUGUAGCUUUGUGUUUUACAUUUAGGUUUAUAAUCCAUUUUGAGUUAAUUUUUGUGAAGGGUGUAAGAUCUGUAUCUAGAUUCAUUUGUGUGUGUUUGUGUGUCUUUGUGUAUGGAUGUACAGUUAGCUGUUCCAACAUCAGUUGUUGGAAAGACUACCUU
ensembl:lncRNA